rnacentral:rRNA from 1 species
AGCUUGCUUCUCUUGAGAGCGGCGGACGGGUGAGUAAUGCCUAGGAAUCUGCCUGGUAGUGGGGGAUAACGUUCGGAAACGGACGCUAAUACCGCAUACGUCCUACGGGAGAAAGCAGGGGACCUUCGGGCCUUGCGCUAUCAGAUGAGCCUAGGUCGGAUUAGCUAGUUGGUGGGGUAAUGGCUCACCAAGGCGACGAUCCGUAACUGGUCUGAAAGGAUGAUCAGUCACUCUGGAACUGAGACACGGCCCAGACUCCUACGGGAGGCAGCAGUGGGGAAUAUUGGACAAUGGGCGAAAGCCUGUUCCACCCUAGCCGCG